rnacentral:sRNA from 1 species
UUUUUAUUUUUCUGUGUCAUGAUGCCUCCGUUAUUAGCCUUUUAUCGUCUUGUUUAUAUUUUUGGGGCCGGCAUGAUGCCGGCUUUUUUU